rnacentral:rRNA from 1 species
AAGCUGAUCAGCAUACCGCGUGGGUGAAGAGGCCUUCGGGUUGUAAAGCCCUUUUGUUGGGAAAGAAAUCCAGCUGGUUAAUACCCGGUUGGGAUGACGGUACCCAAAGAAUAAGCACCGGCUAACUUCGUGCCAGCAGCCGCGGUAAUACGAAGGGUGCAAGCGUUACUCGGAAUUACUGGGCGUAAAGCGUGCGUAGGUGGUUAUUUAAGUCCGUUGUGAAAGCCCUGGGCUCAACCUGGGAACUGCAGUGUAUACUGGAUGACUAGAAUGUGGUAGAGGGUAGCGGAAUUCGUGGUGUAGCAGUGAAAUGCGUAGAGAUCAGGAGGAACAUCCAUGGCGAAGGCAGCUACCUGGACCAACAUUGACACUGAGGCACGAAAGCGCUGGGGAGCAAACAGGAUUAGAUACCCUGGUACUCCACGCCCUAAAAAAUGACAACUGGAUUUUGGGUGCCAUUUGGCAAGCAGUAUCGAAUCUAACGCGUUAAGUUCGCCGCCUGGGGAUAGGUCGCAAGACUGAAACUCAAGAAU